UAAUAACACUCAUACACAGUGUAAUCAUCAUGUUUUUCUACAUAGAAUAGUGGAACGUUAGCAUGUUAACCUGCAAUGAUUAUUUGCUUCUUUUAUUCACCGUAACAAGCUCUCUCUAAACUUCCAUAACCAUAGUUUAUUUUCUAUAACCAAACUCUUUCCCUAACCUUGAACAUCCAAUAGCUGUUGUGUGCAGUUAUAUUAGAAAGCAAGAAUUAUAAACGUAAUCUUGGUUCAGCAGAAUCAUCCGAUACUGAUGUUCUCGUCUGGAAAAGAACAGUAACAUCAAAGCUACAAGAACCGCUGGAAGUAAACGUGUUUUGUCCCCCUUUGAUUUAUUUUUCUGUCUGUAACCUGUAACGCUCUGAUGACUGUGUUCCUCCUCCAUCCUCAUCUCCAUUACACGCUGCCUGGACAGCCCACAGCCAUCGGCCUCCAGCUGCUCUGAUGUGCCAGGAAGAAGCAUUCGGGCGUGACACCUGACUCACGCUUCACUCCGUCACCUGCUGUGGGGGGAAAAGCUACGGAGGCCCCGAGGCGCAAAACACAACAACGCUGUUAGAUAAUUAUGAAACCCUCCUGCUCCUCUGAGUAAAGGUGUACAGCACAUGUACGAACAAACACUGAGUCAUCAUCGCCACUGAAUGAAUCAGGAGCUCUCAGCAGUGAAGCUCCUCGCUAAGCUCGGCUUAUCCCCUCCUAAGACAUAUGAAAAUACUCUUAAAACAUCAUCUCCUCCUUCUCCCUCGUGUAAAAAUCCUGAAUCUCUGAAUAUCCUGCUGGACACAAGAUGAUUCCUACUUCACUGAAAAGUGUAUUUUCUAAGUGUUUGUGCACCGGGAGCUUCAAGUUUGCUUGAAGAUUUCUGUUUUGUUAAUUUAAAAGAUUUCAGUAAAGCAUCAAUCAUGAAGAUAGUUGAUCAGUUCAUUGUUCUUGUUCUGUUACUGUAUAUGACCUGCUUGUUUUGUUCUCAUGUGUCUCCUGUAUGAUGAAACCAUCAGCGAGCUCUCUAUCUUCCUUAAAGUGAACUGUUAUGUCUCGACGAACGAGUGAAUAGAGUAAAUAAUAGAUUUCCUGCUUUGAUGUUUACUCAGGGAGCAACUGUAGCAGAAAAUCCCAGGGCGGUGGGAUGAAGAAGCACUCGCACUGUCCCGCGGGAGAGUUUUACACUCAGAACCUUUGAACUGCGGCAUCCUUCAGAUUCUCAGUGUCUACUACUCUGCUUCCUUGGAGGCUUGAGGGGAGGAUUGGACCAGGAGGAGGCAACGUGGCUGGUCUAAGAGCUCCGCUGAGGGGCCGUCUGCAAAGCUGGAGAAACUGUGGAGGUGGAGGUGGAGGUGAGUGGAGGUCAGUCAUAGCGGUCCCGCCCUUGACCUGGGGGUCUGGACGUCUGCUCAAUCUCCAUGCUAACAGACACCCCCUCGGCAAAGAGGUCAGUUGGGGGUCCAGUGCUGUUUUAUCCAUGGAACUAAAGAAAAGACCGUAGAGAGUCCCUCACCGUCCGGCCGUCGUCUUGGCCCGUCCCACACUGAAGAAAGCAGUCUGGGCUUCAGAAGGAGAACAGGAGGCCAGCCUCAGUGCAACUUAUACUCAAGCUGAGACCGUGUGAGGAAUAAACCCACUAGCGAGAGCCUUAGACGGUGUUCAUACUGGAGCUCAGAGGAACUCAGACUGACACAGAGCUAAUGGUUUCAAU